AUGCCCGGGAGCGCAAGCAGCAGCACCCCGCUCGCGAGCGCCGGAACCGCGAGGGUCCUUCGCGCCCCGCCACCGAGGGGAACUCGCGCUUUUUCCUGUCUCAGGACCCCCGCGAUCCGGCCUCCGCCCGCGCCAGCGCCGCAGCUGAACGCGGCGUCCUUUGAAAUCGCCGGUUCCAGUCUCCACGUUGCAGAGACGCGAAAGACAGAGAAACACACUGAUGAACCUGCCGCUCGGCCAAGGCGGCUGCUUAACACGCUCAGGGAAUUCAGCCCUGUGUGCGAAGGACAUCUACAGCAUGAUGCACACGAAGUAUUACAGUGUGUUUCGGGAAACAUUCAAGAAACAUGCCAACUCCUAAGAAAAGAAGAAGUAAAAAAUGUGGCAGAAUUCUCUACUGAGGUAGAAGAAAUACAUCAUCAGAAAGAGGAAAUGAGUGGCGUUAACAGCACGCACAUGGACGGUAUGAGGCGUUCUGAGGACUUUAAAGAAAAACUCCCAAAAGGAAAUGGGAAAAGAAAAAACGACACUGAAUUUGGUAAAAUGAAAAAAAAAGUUAAAGUCUCCAAGGAACACCAGUCAUUGGAAGAGAACCAGAGACAAACUAGAUCAAAAAGAAAACCUACAAGUGAUACAUUAGAGAUUCCUCCUAAAAUAAUUCCCAAGUAUAUUUCUGAAAAUGAGAGUGCAAGAGCUUCACAAAAGAAAUCAACUGUUAACACAACUAAUGGACUUGAAUCUCCAGGAAAUACUGUUAUACCUGUAAAUAUUAAUGAAGUUAAAUCCAUAAACAAAGGUGAGGAACAAAUUGGUUUUGAGCUAGUGGAGAAAUUAUUUCAAGGUCAGCUGGUAUGAAGGCCUCGUUGCUUGGAAUGUGAAAAUUUAACAGAAAGAAGAGAAGAUUUUCAAGACAUCAGUGUGCCGGUACAAGAAGAUGAGUUUUCCAAAGCAGAGGAGAGUUCUGAAAUUUCUCCAGAGCCAAAAAUGGAAAUGAAGACCCUGAGAUGGGCAAUUUCACAAUUUGCUUCAGUAGAAAGGAUCGUAGGAGAAGAUAAAUAUUUCUGUGAAAACUGCCAUCAUUAUACUGAAGCUGAACGAAGUCUUUUGUUUGACAAAAUGCCUGAAGUUAUAACUAUUCAUUUGAAGUGCUUUGCUGCUAGUGGUUUGGAGUUUGAUUGUUAUGGUGGUGGACUUCCCAAGAUCAACACUCCUUUACUGACACCUCUUAAACUGUCACUAGAAGAAUGGAGCACAAAACCACCUAACGACAGCUAUGGAUUGUUUGCGGUUGUGAUGCAUAGUGGCAUUACAAUUAGUAGUGGGCAUUACACUGCUUCUGUUAAAGUCACUGACCUUAAUAGUUUAGAGCUAGAUAAAGGAAAUUUUGUGGUUGACCAAAUGUGUGAAAUAGGUAAGCCAGAACUAUUGAAUGAGGAGGAAGCAAGGGGUGUGGUUGAGAAUUACGAUGAUGAAGAAGUGUCGAUUAGAGUUGGUGGAAAUACACAGCCAAGAAAAGUUUCAAACAAAAAAAAAUGUAGAAGCUAUUGGACUUCUUGGAGGACAAAAGAGUAAAGCAGGUUAUGAGUUAUACAGCAAAGCCUCUAACCCUGAUAAGGUUGCCAGCACAGCAUUUGCUGAAAAUAGAAAUUCUGAGACUAACGAUGCUAAUGGGACCCACGAAUCAGAUAGAAACAAGGAAUCCAGUGACCAAACAGGCAUUAGUAUUAGUGGAUUUGAGAAUAAAAUUUCCUAUGUAGUGCAAAGCUUGAAAGAGUAUGAGGGGAAGUGGUUGCUUUUUGAUGAUUCUGAAGUGAAAGUUACUGAAGAGAAGGACUUUCUGAAUUCCCUUUCCCCUUCUGCAUCUCCUACUUCUACUCCUUACUUGCUAUUUUAUAAGAAAUUAUAGAGUGAGUGUAUUUUCCUUGUGUAUGUUUAAACAUACCCACACAAACAUCGGUACAGUUGGUUACAUCAAAGAGUCUUUAUCUUUUGAAGCUAUUGGAUAUUAUUGGUCUCUCUAGGUUUUUCUAUAAAUAGUGAAAUUUGAAUUACUGAAAACCAUGUUAAUUUUUAGAAUUCAUUUUCCUCAGUAGAAACUAGUGAUGCGUUAGCUUCUGGGAACAAACUUGUAUAAGUUCUUAAUUAAAUUAUCUAAAACGGACACAUUUAAACACUUUUGGAUUUACACCAAUCUUUUGUGUUUGCUUUUUAAAAUAAAGUGCUUGUAUUUGUAUUCUCCAUACUUUGCAGUAAUUAUCUACAUGAUGUUUAUAGGUCCUGUGGUUUUUCACCCAAGAAGCAGAAUCUCAUUCAGUACAUUUAGUUUUAUAAGAGUCCUGAAGCUAAAUAUUUGGCCCAUGUCAGGGGCACAAAGUCUAGAAUGUGUGUAUUGACAAUGUUGUACAUUUUGUGCCUUGAAUCACUUAGAAAAGUGUCUCAGAAAACCUGAACAGUUCCCUUCUAUCUUCACAAGAAUUUUAUAUGUAUUUAUGAAGAUGAUUCUGUACUCUAGUACAUCUUUUUUGGCAUGGACUAAUUUGUAUCUCUUUAACUCAUAUUCUGCACGAUCUGUAUAUAGUACAUAAAAUUUAGAGGUGUGACCUUAAAUUUAACUUUUUUUAAAAACUGGGAGGUCAAUAAAAUUUAAACUGUUUAACAAC